UACAGAGGCCUCGAGCGUUAGGCGGAAUCACUGGGCUUAAAGCGUGUGUAGGCGGAUCGUUAAGUACCUUGUGAAAUCCCACGGCUCAACCGUGGAACUGCUUGGUAUACUGGCGGUCUUGUGCAACCUAGGGCGAGCGGAACAGAUGGUGGAGCGGUGAAAUGCGUAGGAUAUCAUCUGGAACGCCAAUGGUGAAAAACAGCUCGCUGGG
rnacentral:rRNA from 1 species